rnacentral:rRNA from 1 species
UAGAGGAUGUUUCGGGUGCGGCGCGGGUCUAAGUCCUUUGGAACAGGGCGUCAUAGAGGGUGAGAAUCCCGUAUGUGACCCGUGAUCAAGCCCAUGUGAAACCCCUUCGACGAGUCGAGUUGUUUGGGAAUGCAGCUCAAAAUGGGUGGUAAAUUUCAUCUAAAGCUAAAUACCGGCCAGAGACCGAUAGCGCACAAGUAGAGUGAUCGAAAGAUGAAAAGCACUUUGGAAAGAGAGUCAAAAAGUACGUGAAAUUGUUGAAAGGGAAGCGCUUGCAACCAGACCUGUCCGCAGGCGAUCAACUCCCGUUCUCGGGGGUGCACUCGUCUGUGAUCAGGCCAGCAUCGGUUCGGGCGGUCGGAUAAAGGCCUUGGGAAUGUAGCUCCUUCCGGGGAGUGUUAUAGCCCUCGGUGCAAUGCGGCCAGCCCGGACCGAGGACCGCGCCUUCGGGCUAGGAUGCUGGCGUAAUGGUUGUAAGCGACCCGUCUUGAAACACGGACCAAGGAGUCUAACAUCUAUGCAAGUGUUUGGGUGUCAAACCCAUACGCGUAAUGAAAGUGAACGGAGGUGAGAACCCUUAAGGGCGCAUCAUCGACCGAUCCAGAUGUCUUCGGAUGGAUUUGAGUAUGAGCAUAGCUGUUGGGACCCGAAAGAUGGUGAACUAUGCCUGAAUAGGGUGAAGCCAGGGGAAACCCUGGUGGAGGCUCGCAGCGGUUCUGACGUGCAAAUCGAUCGUCAAAUUUGGGUAUAGGGGCGAAAGACUAAUCGAACCAUC